GAUGAACGCUGGCGGCGUGCCUAAUACAUGCAAGUCGAGCGAACAGACGAGGAGCUUGCUCCUUUGACGUUAGCGGCGGACGGGUGAGUAACACGUAGGUAACCUACCUAUAAGACUGGGAUAACUUCGGGAAACCGGAGCUAAUACCGGAUAAUAUUUCGAACCGCAUGGUUCGAUAGUGAAAGAUGGCUUUGCUAUCACUUAUAGAUGGACCUGCGCCGUAUUAGCUAGUUGGUAAGGUAACGGCUUACCAAGGCAACGAUACGUAGCCGACCUGAGAGGGUGAUCGGCAACACUGGAACUGAGACACGGUCCAGACUCCUACGGGAGGCAGCAGUAGGGAAUCUUCCGCAAUGGGCGAAAGCCUGACGGAGCAACGCCGCGUGAGUGAUGAAGGUCUUCGGAUCGUAAAACUCCGUUAUUAGGGAAGAACAAACGUGUAAGUAACUGUGCACGUCUUGACGGUACCUAAUCAGAAAGCCACGGCUAACUACGUG
rnacentral:rRNA from 1 species